rnacentral:lncRNA from 1 species
CUUAAGAUACACUGGGGCACAAAGGACUGUUCUGACAGUGACACACGGUCAAAGAUCUUCUUUAUUUUCAUAUUUUGAGUGAACAAUGAGUGAAUGUACUCCAUGAAAAGUUUAUAAAUAUGGCAUGUCAUGUAUGCUUCUUAAAGCUCAAAUACAAGAAACGAGAAUAAGAAAAAGUUUGUGCCUGAGUAUGGAGGGGAAAAUUAUUCUGCUUUGCCUUAUGGUGCUUGUGUUGCUAGGAAAUCCCAUUCGCGCUGGUAAGAAGUCGAUCUCCAUGUUCCUAUAUAUGUGUUUCCUUUUUCCUCCCAACCGGAGUAGAACAAAUCUUCAUGAACAUUGUAAACUCAACUUCAGGAGUUUCUUUGGACCCUUUCAAUUUGGUAUUGUUUCACUGAUGUAUGUAUGUUGUCUACAGAGCAUUGCCAAACGCACGAUGAACCAGCCCCCCUGUGCACUAAUUUUUAUUGCCGGAAUUACUGCCAGAAUGAGUGGAACCAUGUCAAGAAAGCCUACUGCACCCACAAGUCUAUUUUUCGCCGGCAUUGCAUAUGCGUUGUUUGUGACUAGAGUUGCACUCUAACAUCAUGUCAAAUAAUGGACAAUGAUGUCCAGUAAUAAAAUCUUCUUGUGACAUGUGUGAAAAAACCUUGAUCGCCAAUUUUAGGUGUUCU